CCGCGCUCUGCCCGUGCGCCGCCGACCCACUCACUGCCGCUCGGGGCUUUGGGUUCCCCCCAUGCAAAAGGAGGACCAUGCUAUGUCAUCAAGGGCUGAUGCGAAGAAGAACCCAGAAGCAGGCGUCAAUAAGUAACGAAAGAAUGGGGGUAGCCGUGCCUAAUAUCGUUGCUGCCGUGGCAAUUACUGCAACGGAGGCUUGAGAGUUAGGGCGCCAGAAACGCAAACUUUCCAGGGGACCAAACUCAUCCAAGCCUCCUAAGGGGCCUGUGGAGACCUCUGC
rnacentral:lncRNA from 1 species